rnacentral:lncRNA from 1 species
ACUGUUUUGUUGCUACUUGGUAAGUAGUUUUGCUAGUUAUGAAUCAAAUGUAAAUGUCUGUGUUUUCCCAUGGUCUUGGGUGACCCUGAAAUUGUCAUUCAACUCCAAAGAGAUAACAACCCACAGGUUGAGAACCACUGACUUAAAGAUUACAGCCAUGAUACAAUUAGAAACAGAGGAACAUUUUCCUGAAAAGGUUGGUAUUACAGCUAGUUCUAGUUUCUGAGGAAACCUGCCUGGUUAAAUGUUUUCCUAACCUUUGCCUGAAUGUUUUCUUAAUACAGAGCUCUGUUUUUCUCUGUUGUUUAUAAAGCAUUCACUUAAAAGUCUCUAACAUCAGCUAUAAAUGAAACUUUGACCUUGUUGAGACACUGUUUCCAAGUAGCAGAAAGCUUGACAAAAAGAAGAAAGUAUGAAGUAAAACAAACAGAACCUUAAACCACAGGCCAGCAGUCAUGAACCAGAAAGAGGAGGGAAAGAAAGCAGAACAGGAAUAGAAUGGACUGCUUUUAAUUCAGAAAUCAAGCUAUCUGUUCCUGGACACAUCCAAAAAGUGCAGUGGUGCAGCUUGUUAAGGGGAGGUGACAGAGGAUUGGGAGCUGGGGAAGGAAGAAAGAUCAUGUGAAAUCACUUAGUUCCUUUGGGGAGCUUCCUCAAUGAAUGACCGACAGUCCUAGAAUCUACCCCAGCCAUCACCACCAUAUGUAACUAAUACUGAAGUCAACACAAAUGCCAAGAAACAGGAGCAAGCAUUGAACCCGAAGCCCUGCAGGACAGCCUCACCGUAAUCCUUGUCAUCUGGGUGACCUCAUGCAAUGCAUACUGCUAUAUAUAUAGAUUUCUUCCAGGUCAACCAUCUGAUGCCACAAUGCUUCAUGUGUGCACCCAGCAUUGAGAACCACUGACACAAGGCAAAGCCAGUAGAGAAGUGAAGAAUUGAUUCAGGAUAAGCAGCAAGAACAAGCUGGUCCCCUAGCCACUUCUAUUGGAUUAAAAAGGAAGGCCUUAUUUUGGUCUCAUAUCUGUUUUGAAGUAAAAUCUAGAAGAAUUUAAGUUUGCUUAUAAACCACCAGAGGAAUGGACUGCAGUGCGCUAGAAUUUAGCCGUGAAUGCGUGGAUCUUGAUAAUGACAAACACCCCAUCAACUCUUACUGGGAGAAGAACUGUGAGCGCUGUGUUUGUAGAAAAGACAAGAUUUCUUGCUGCAGGCUACAGAACUUACAUGGCUGAGUACUUCAAGCAAAUGGAUUGCCAGGUAAUAUUCCACCCAGGGACCUGCACCUACACUGUGGAACAGAAAGACCCACAAAAGCCCUGUUUUAACUAAGUAGACACUGUGAACAUACUUCUGCUGGGCUCAGCACUCCCAGCCUGAAGGAUAUUUGUAAGCCAGGCUAUUCUCUAGUCACUUCUCAUAAUCUGUGAUUACAUAGCCCUACCUAAUAGUGUUUUAAAAACUUGGAUUUGAAUAUGUUUAUGUUUAAAAUUUGCCAAUUAUAUUUGUGUUGAUUUGAUGCAUGUAAUAGCACAACAAAUAAACACUUAAAGGAGACAAAAAUAAACACAAG